UGGGGAAUAUUGGACAAUGGGGGCAACCCCUGAUCCAGCAAUGCCGCGUGUGUGAAGAAGGUCUUCGGAUUGUAAAGCACUUUCGACGGGGACGAUGAUGACGGUACCCGUAGAAGAAGCCCCGGCUAACUUCGUGCCAG
rnacentral:rRNA from 1 species